CUUUGUAAGUAUCCGGGAUCCAGGGUCCCUCAAUCUUUUUCCUCCAUCACCCUGAGCAGGUGACUUCUAUCCUUAAGGUUGCCUGUGGUCACAAGAAGGCAGUUGCAACUCUAGUUAUUGCACCCUCUUCUCCAGUUAGGAAGGAGGGUGUGGGGGAAGGGCAGACAGGCACUUGCUGCCUCACCCUCCAGUUCCAUUCAAUAAUUUCCAUCCCCACAUGCAUCAUUUUUUACUGAGGAACAAACAGUGGCUACAACAGCAAUCAUUUAUUUCUUAUUCACGGGUCUGGAUCAACUGCAAGAUGAGAUUCAGAUCUGUUCUCAAGCCUGUCAUUCCAGGACCGAGGGAAGAAAAGCAGCUGCUUAAGGACAGUCUCUUCUUAGGUGCAUGUCAGGAGCCCAAGAGGAGUGAGCAGAGACACAGAAGCCUCUUGAAGUCUCUUCCUCCUCAGUCCCGUCAGUGGAUGCCAGAUGCGUGAGCAAGCACAGAGCCAGUGGGCAAGGAGGUGUGCUCUGCUCACAGUCCACAAGGCAAGAGUAGGCACGAAGAAUGGAAUGAACAGCGCACUCUGGUAGCGUCUCUUUGGCCAGAAUGUCAUCCCAGCUCUGCUGGAAAACUGGGAAAUAUCUUUCCUUAGCCAAGCACAGGGUCCUGUUAGGAAGGCAGAUGGAGAACCUGAGUGUUGGGGGGCAGCUGGCAGCACCUGCCACUGAGGACAAAUAUCGCCUCCCCUUGCUCCCUGGAAGCUAGGGCAUGGCAGUGUGUCCUAGGCUUGGCAAAAGCCAUUCAGCCCUCAGGAACUUUGAUUAUUGAGGGACAGUGAGAGAUAGGUCAUGGUGAGUGGCACAUGUGUCAGGAAUCCGGCAGUAAUGGCUAAUGUCCAAUGAGGAGGUGGCAGUGGUACCUAAGGGUGGGUGUCCCAACCAGACAGUUCUUUAGUACAAUCCUGGCUAUGUUUUCAGUUGUGCAGCUGCUUUUCUGGGCUUAGUUCUCUAUUCUUCUCUCCGUUUCCAGAUCUGCCAAAGAACUCCUUUGUGAUUGAAGUUAGCUAGAGUUGGUUUCUCUUACUUACAACCCAGGACCUUGAUGCAAUUCAUGGGGUCUGGGCAAGAUUUGAAAGCAACAGUUCUUAUUGCUAACUUACCACUAGUCACCACUAAUGAACAAAGAAUAUGAACAGGAAAUUCAUAAAAGAAGAGAUACAGGUGGCCAAUGAAGAUAGGAAAAGAGUUCUGCCUCGGUGAUAAUGAAAGAGACACGAAUGAGAACAAAGAAGAUGCCAUUUUCACCUAC
rnacentral:lncRNA from 1 species